AUCCCUUUUAUAUCGAGACCCAGGUCAGCGUGUACUGUGAUAUGGAGACUGAAGGCGGACGGUAGACAGCAAUUCAGAAGCGAGUGAGCGGAUCCGUGAGGUUUAACAAAACGUGGGCGGAGUACAAAAAUGGGUUUGGCAACCCUCAUGACUCAUAUUGGAUUGAUUGCCAAAUGGCACAACUUUAUACGAACUUUAUCGUCAGUUUUCUGUGUCCGAUGAAACGGACAACUACAGACUUUUUCU